CAUUUGAUGUAUGGCUGGCUGCAGUUCUUUGAAAGAUGCUCAACUAAUCAUUUUGUGGGAAAAACAUUUAAAAAAUUGGUAUGCAUCUAUAGAUAUUGUUGCUCAUAGAUAAUGGCAUUACCAUAUUGCCUUGAGAAAUGGUGCUUUCCUAUUGAAAAAUUCCUGAAAAAAGACCAAUAUAUCUGAGGAACUUUUAGAAAUUAGUUUACAUGCUAUAAGUUCUUCAGCAAUGAAGCUUGACAGCUAGCUCUGUACUCAAGAAUUUCUUAGCCAUUUUGUUCUACUUAUUUAAGCCUAAUAUCAAGAAAAAUGAACCAUGAAAUCUAUAAAUUUUUACACAUAGAAAAACCAAAUAAGGUCAACCCGUGAAAUUAGUUACGGUGCAUAAAAGCAAGCUGACACGGACAUCACGAUUAUUUUUAAAACUAUAUAACAAACAAUUACAUCAUUUUUCUUGAUUCCACAGUUGUAUCUAGUCUAGAAUGUAGAUAUGUUCAAGGAGUUGGUAUGACUUUUCAAAACACUAUUGACAUAGUAUGUUCUGUCAUGGAACGCUUUUGAACUUAUUUUUUAAUAAUAAUCUAUAUUAAAAUCAACAAAUAAAUUUGACGAAAAUAAUCUCAAAAACUAAACUUUAGGCAAAGUAACUUGUGUGUGAUAACAUCACAAAUGGAGAUUGACAAAAUUUAUGCAACAACAAUAAUCUCGAGUGAAUGACUUCGCAUAUGCUACUUCAAAUGAGCCGACUUUGAAAGCUCACACCGCAUUCUUCACAAAUAUUCAUUUUUUACCCCUAUUAUCGAAUUUUGAAUCUCAAUUACAAUACAAUGUUUUUAGCUAUUAAUUUUUAAUUGCAUUCUUCAAUUUCUCUUGUUCGAGAACAAGCAAUAAUGAAGACCGAAAGGAAGAAAAUUAAUGUGACAGAACAAUAAUAGUAAGAGAUAGAACAAUAACAGUAGCAGACAUGAAUUUAACCCAUAAAAUUGAAAUUGUGAACGCUACCAGAAUAAGAUUGUGAAAAUAUUGAGAGAAAAAAACUAAUUUGAUUUUGCAGUACCGUAUGAAAAAUCAAAGAGAACAUAGAAGAGAGUGUUGGGUAGAACAAUAACCACAACAACUAUGAAUUUUAAGUUAUGAUAUUGGAAAUUUAAUCUUUUCUAAAAGAAGAUCAGGGCAAAUAUUGAGGCAAAAGCUGACCUAAGAAUGCACGUUCAGAUACGAAGACGAAGCUAAUGAGUAGGCCUUUGAAUUUAAGUUUGGAUGAAAGAAAAUUAUGGACACUUGGGAGGAGUCUUCUAGAAAUUCUCCAUUGUUGGAACAAAGAAAUGAAACGACCGAGUGUUCUAGAAAGGCCAAGAAAAAGCUGAUUCUUUCUUUUGUCUUUGAGCAAAAUGACGAAUUUACCCUUGAUCGUUCUUUUGAUGGCGUUUCUGUUUUGCAAUGAAAGAUUUGUCAAGAAAGUGUAAGAGCAGUGUAUCUUCACUUCUAGCAUUCUAUUUUCAUGAAAGUGCGCAUUAAAUAAUGCAUUCUACAACAUACAAAUACAUAAAUGAUGAGUUAAAUUAACAACAAAACCACAAGAAACAAGGCCACAUCGUGUAAGAAAAUUUUAAUUGAGAUCAGUAAACAAACAUGAUUACAACAAUAACAUGAAAAUCAAAAUAAAACCAAAAUCACCUUAGCAUCCUCAACUGUAGCAACGGUGACAUAGCCGAAUCCACGAGAGCUAGCAAGAUAGAGGACAUGAAAAUUUUCAUCUAAGUUUUAACAGACAACACAAUCAUAAAUAAAAGGUGGGUGAAGGUAACUCUGCAAAUACAACAUUUAUCAAUAGUCAAUACACCAAUAAAAGGGUAAAAAAUUUCAAAUGUAACCCAUCAAAAAAAUAAGGUAAAAUAAUCGAAGCAGACAAAAAAUUGCAGAAGAAAUUAAGAAAAAACAGAAUAGGAAAGAAAUCACAAACACAAUGCUUUGAUGUAGCGAAGGGGAGAGGGAGAAGGACAAAAAAUUUCUGAAGAAGCAAUAGACAACCGAGAAAAAAAAAAUACUUACCCAGUUGCAGUUUCUCCGACAUGUAGUAUUCAAUCAAUUUACAUACUCUUCUACCUUGAUCAAACUAACUAUUUACUAUAGUUGAAGUGCAAAAAGCCUUACCCAAUAAAUAUAAACAAACAUAGAAUUGAAAGAAAAAACAAGAUAGGAGAAAAAUAGAGUUUCAAUUUUAUUUUUAUUUUUUGAUGAAUUCGAUAUUUUCGAAACUACCUAGAGUCUUACUAUCUAACUAAGAAAGUUACAAGAAUUUUGCUUCAUAAAAUCCAGAAAAAUGAAGCAUUCAUCAGUAACUUGUUCAAAUGAUCCUCCAUGAAGGAAUCUCCGGAGAGGGAUUGAAAUCAAUAUUAGGAGAGAAAGGAGACGAUUUUUAUCGGUAAUACUUUCAGAUUAUUUUAGGAAAGUUGCUGGCGGAGAGUGAGAGUGGAAAGAUGAAGAUUCUUCUGGAGGAACAUAUACCAAAAAGUCUUUAGGAUUGUUAAUAUAUUUUUAUAGUUACAAUUUUGCCCUUGUAAGAUCGGUUUAAUAUCUAUUUUGCCAUUGGUC
rnacentral:lncRNA from 1 species